GAUGAACGCUGGCGGCGUGCUUAACACAUGCAAGUGGAGCGACGAACCAGGCUUCGGCCUGGGGCAGAGCCGCGAACGGGUGAGUAACACGUGGGUAACCUGCCUCGAUGACUGGGACAACCCGGGGAAACCCGGCUAAUACCGGAUGUGCUGUCCUCACAUCAGUGAGGGUUGAAAGGAAGCUUCGGCCUCCGCAUCGAGAUGGGCCCGCGGCCCAUUAGCUUGUUGGUGAGGUAAUGGCUCACCAAGGCUGCGAUGGGUAGCUGGUCUGAGAGGACGAUCAGCCACACUGGGACUGAGACACGGCCCAGACUCCUACGGGUGGCAG
rnacentral:rRNA from 1 species